UACGGAGGGGGCAAGCGUUGUCCGGAAUUACUGGGCGUAAAGCGCACGUAGGCGGCUUUGUAAGUUAGAGGUGAAAGCCCAGGGCUUAACCCUGGAAUUGCCUUUAAGACUGCAUCGCUAGAAUCGUGGAGAGGUGAGUGGAAUUCCCAGUGUAGCGGUGAAAUGCGUAGAUAUUGGGAGGAACACCAGUGGCGAAGGCGGCUCGCUGGACCGGUACUGACGCUGAUGCGCGAAAGCGUGGGGAGCAAACAGG
rnacentral:rRNA from 1 species